AGAGAGAGACAUGCGCGCAUAUCAAUAAGCGGAGGAAAAGAAACUAACUAGGAUUCCCUCAGUAACGGCGAGUGAAGCGGGAAGAGCUCAAAUUUGAAAUCUUCAAGGUUCUACCUUGACGAAUUGUAGUUUAAAGAAGUGUUUUCUGUUGGAGUUUUGGUAAAAGUUCUUUGGAAUAGGACAUCAUAGAGGGUGAGAAUCCCGUAUUUGACCAUUAUUUCCAGCUUUGUGAUACACUUUCAAAGAGUCGGAUUGUUUGGGAAUGCAGUCCAAAAUGGGUGGUAAAUUUCAUCUAAAGCUAAAUAUUGGCGAGAGACCGAUAGCGAACAAGUACCGUGAGGGAAAGAUGAAAAGAACUUUGAAAAGAGAGUUAAACAGUACGUGAAAUUGUCAAAAGGGAAGCGUUUGACACCAGUGUUGUUUUCUCGAAAAUCAAUUAAAAAAGGCAGGAUUUUGUGUUGUAUUGACUUUAUCAGCUUUCUGCACUCUUUUCUUGUCUUUUUUAAUGCACUUUUCGUUUAACAAGUCAACAUCAAUUUCUUUUGUUGUAAAAGGGUCAUUGGAAGGUGGCUUUCUUUUCGGAGAAAGUGUUUAUAGCCUUUGGCCUCUGCAAUCGGAGAGAUUGAGGUCUGCAGCGUAGAUCCUUCGGGGUUAGAUACAUUUGUGCUAAGUUAUAGCCUUUCAUAGACAACUUGUUGACUAUGAUCAGUCAUGUAGCUUACUCGCUUAUGUUAUUUUACCUACGCUUAGGAUGUUGAUGUGAUACUGCGAGCA
rnacentral:rRNA from 1 species